rnacentral:ncRNA from 1 species
CUUAUCCGGAGUGACCGAGGGAACAGGCCCUGUGACGUCCGACAACCUGCUUGAAAAAGUAAGGUGCCAAUUCCUGCGGUAUUACCGAAAGAUGAGA